AACGCAUAUUGCGCUCGAGGCUUCGGCCAAGAGCAUGUCUGCCUCAGCGUCGGGUUAAUAUCACCUCCCUUUAUAUGUAUGUUUACAUAUGCAUAUUCAGGACGGUGGACCUGGCCGUUCCAGCUCUCAAUGUGCGAUCGUAAUGGGUGGACAUACAUUCGUGUAUGUGCACACACGGUACGGUCAAUCAAUCGAUCUGGAUCGGCUGAAGCAUAGAAACUAUUCGGGACCCGUCUAGGGCCAUAUCUGGGUAACCGUGGCUUAUGUCACAAUGCUUAGAUAUUGGCUUGGGCUUCGAUCCAGUUUUCUAAUCAGGAACCUUUCUAAUCAUUACCUCGACCUGAGCUCAGGCAAGAACACCCGCUGAACUUAA
rnacentral:misc_RNA from 1 species